CGUAUGAACCGAUUACAUUUCCAUGCUUGGGCCAAUACCAUUGAUGCAUACCCAACCAAGGGUGCAUAAAUUUUGGAAUGAAAGACUGAAAGUCACUCCAUUCCUUGGAAGCAAAUGACCCCAAAUUAGUUAGUAUAUCAUAUCACAGAAAAUCAGCUACAAAUUACUGAGAAAUUCAAGUCCCAAAACCUAAAUAAUUUCCAACUGAAACAAGCAAUCGUUUCCCACACACCCAAAUUAGUGUGAUAAUCUUAAAAACUAGAUUAGAACACUUCAUUCUAAACCUCUUCCAAACCUCUUUCGUUCUCAUCCAGCCAAGCAGCUGCACGCCACCAUGACGGCAAUGAUUACCGAUAGAUCACCGGUGACCACCUGACAGGGCUCUUCUAGCCAUCUGAUCAAGACGCACAACAUGGCGAGUGCGACAAGUGGGGUUGGCGUGGUUGUGAUGGAGGUGGCGAGGUACUGCCUCCACGUCGAGCUUCUCCGUCAACUCUAGGUACAGCUUCUCAUUCAAUGAUGAAUCAGCAUGCACUUCUCCAAAUCGGUGUUCCCUUCCAUUACGAUCUUCCUCCUCCUCCUGACAAGAGAAGAAAUUGAAUUGCAUCCCCAUCCGCUCCGAUCGGCCUUCUCUUGGGCAGGAAAAGGAGUAGGAUUAUUAUUAAUAAUUAUUAAUAAUAUAUUAAUGAUUAUUAAAUGAAACUAUUGGUGAUUAAGUUGUUUAGUUUGAUUUAUUAUUUAUAAAAACAAAUAUGUUAUUUGUAAUAAUUUACUAUUUCUGUUUAUUCAUAGUCGGUGUUCGUCAUCACCACUGUGGACAACUAUUACUUCUCUGGCCUUGACGGCAGUUGGCCAUCUGAGUUCAGUUUUUCUGGCAUCCUCUCGGAGUCGAUAUUAUGUCCUCCAUUCUUCCCGAAUUAUUUAGCAAUUUUAUGAGUUUUUAAUUUAUCUAUUGAUGUUGAAAAAGUAUGAUAUGCUUGCAAAGUUAGAAUGGAUUAUGACUUUGUUGUAGAAA